rnacentral:rRNA from 1 species
CACGCCAUAAACGAUGGAUACUUGUUGUUGGAGGUUUUGACCCCUUCAGUGACGAAGCUAACGCGUUAAGUAUCCCGCCUGGGGAGUACGGUCGCAAGAUUAAAACUCAAAGAAAUUGACGGGGGCCCGCACAAGCGGUGGAGUAUGUGGUUUAAUUCGAUGCAACGCGCAAAACCUUACCUAGGCUUGACAUGGACAGGAAGAGUAGCAGAAACGCUCUCGCCCGCAAGGGCCUGUUCACAGGUGC